CGUGCGGUGCGGCCCGGACGCGGCCCCGGCCCCUGCGACAGCCGCUGCCCCGGCGCCCUCUGCUGGGGACCCGCGUCGUCUCUCCACCCGUCCCACACACACGACCCCGCCGCCCCACUUGGGCGUCCGCCUACGAGCUGGGCUGAGGCGGGGUGCAGGGUGCUGGACGGGGCGACUUUCUGGAUUUGAGAGGAUUGAAGGCAAGGAAACGACACAAAUAAAGGCGUGAAGACCCCAGUUAGGGACGAAUCACCGCCCCUCACCCCGCCCACACCUGCUCUCCGGCACGGGAAAGCCCGGGAGUUGGGGCCGGAGAGCCGAGGGAAGGAAAUACACGUCUUGGCAACUGUUGGAUGGGUUUGGCUUGAACAGGAAUUGUCCUUCCUUCAGUCAACUCAAUGACUCAGCAGCACAAACAGAUAUAUCCCUCUUCAGAUUCCAGUUUGCUACACAGAAGGCAGGUUUCCAGAAGAAGCUCUAGUUAAUGACAAGGGGCUGGGCAAUUUCAUGGAUUAUGGGAACUAAGCCUACCAUGAAGAAACAUACCCUCAUCAGUGAAGAAGAGGGAGGUGUGCUUAAGAAGGCACUUACUGCUUGCUUUGGCAAGAAAACCAACUCAGAGGCCUUAACUGCAGGGAGGCCAAUCAAAAUCCCUACUGCAACCAAACUUGUGACUCAGGUAUGCUUAGAAAGCUCCUUCUCAUUCCUGCCUGAAUUUCCUUGGACUCCUAGUCCACUUCACUGAGUGUUCUGGAAGAGACUGCUUGAGGGCAGCAUGCAUCAUGCUGCCAGAAGAGCUAUUGUAAGAACUCCCAGACAUGAACAACAAAGCAUCUCCUCAUGGUACCAGCAAGUCAUCCCUUUGAUCUCCAGUACUGCCAAACCUCUUUAAAAUGAAAAGACCACAAGUGUACCAGAAGGGAUUACAAAUCCUGCUUCUACAAAAAAUGAAGAGUAAAAUUAAAUACCAACCAUUACUACAGUUUCUUAAAUAUGCUGCAAUGUAAGAAUGAAGACCUUGGAUUAGGGCCUAGAGAAGUGAUUCAGCAAGUCCCUUACAUAGUUGAACCAUCACUUACAUAAGAGAUUUUGAUUUUCAAAAGUUUGGUAUUUUUGAACAAUAUCUGAAAGGAUGGUAUUUAUGAAGCUGCUCUUUUUGCGUGUAGUAGUCUGUUGUUCUGGUAAGAAAGACAUAAGCCGGAAAACAAUACUAUUUUAAUUAAAGCUGGUGUGUAUGAGGAGAAAUACAGAAUGGCAAUCUGCAUACCACUGACAAGGGAACAACACAAGAGGUGAGAAAAGACAAAGUGAGUCACUGGUGUUGAAAAGAGAUUGACACACAAGACUGAACAAAUACAAUGGAUUUAGUGAAUGCUAAAGUAGUUUCUUUUAAGCUUUCCUCUUUUAGUUUGAUCUACGUCACUCUGACUUUCCUUAAAGCUGUGUGGGAGAGAAGGAAUGAAAUUUUGAAAAAAAAAAAAACCUUAAAAAAACUAAAAACAACCCACUCAAGAAAUGUGUAAAGAAAAAUUCUGAAGGUAAAUUUUCUUUUUUUAAUUUUUCUUUUUUUUUCUUCCCUAAUGAAGACUCUUGCACGAAGGUAAAAUUUUUAUGAGGACUCUUUCUUGUGUAACAAAUAUCCAGGCAGCUCCUCUAUGGAGAGAAUUAAGUUCCCCUUCUAGUGACAGAGUACCAGCUAACAAUAUGAAAACUUGAUUUAUAAUUCAACAAGUAUUUUAUUUGCCUUUCCUGCCUGGGAUGUAAAUUUAAGAGAAAUAAUGAAGAUGCUGUUUAGAGAAUAUACACUCCAAUGAUUAUUGAUCUAUUGUAUCAUAUUCACUUCUGAACUGAAAAUUAAAGAAAAGAUUGGGGAUUAUUUUAUGUAGUCCACCAAAAAUGGAAAGAAUGAAAAAAAGGGACUCAAUGAAAGUCUAGCCAUCUACUUUUAACAGCCCUAUGGCAUUCACCACUUAGAAUAAAAGAGUUGACAUAAAUCCUUAGAGGGCUAAUUAAAGAUUA